UAGACUUUUAUUAAGAAAAACAGCCAUGGGUACACGGGGAAAGAGAAAGAAGAAAAAGCCCCUACUUCCCGCAGCACCCAGCUUAUAUAGCGCUAACAGCCAAUCACAGGCAAGCUAAAGUCCAUGUGUGAAGCACUCCAAUCAGACUCUGGUCCACGCGCGUGCAUGCGUUUCUUGGCCAAUCAGCUGGAGUAUCACGCGGCAGGCAGGCUCGCAACACAGUCCUCCGAUCGGUCUUCCUGUUUACGGCACUUGCGGUUUCACUUCCUCCCGGCGCCAUCUUGUGGGGUCGGCGUCCCGAUCCCCACGUGUGUGUGUGUGUGUGUGUGUGUGUGUGUGUGUAUGUGUGUGUGUGUAUGCAAAAGGGAGGCUUGUUUUACAAGAUGCAGGCUUUUCAAGGUUGUCUGUAGACAGGUUAUGAUUUUUAAAAUUUUUUUAAAGAUUUAUUUGGUCUGUUUGGAAGGCAGAUUGACAAAGAUAGAGGGAAAGACAGAAAGAAAAGAGAUCCUCCAUCUGUUGUUUCAUUCCCCGAAUGGCCACAAUGGCCAGGGCUGGACCAGGUUAAAGCCAGGAGCCUGAAACUUCCUCCUGGUCUUCCAUGUGGAUGGCAGAAGCCCAAGCACUUUGGCCAUCCUCUGCUGCUUGUGCAGACCAUUAGCAGUGAGCCGAAUUGGAAGCAGAGCAGCUGGGACUUGAUCUGGCCUCUGAUACAGGACGCUGUCAUCGCAGGCAACAGCUUAACCUGCUGCUUCCCAUGGCUGCCCUGGGAGUCGACAUACUAGCCAUGAGGUUCUGGAGGAAAUCUACAUCAGAUUUAUCCUUUAGAUGAAGCUGCUCAGAGACAGGACUCAUAUUUCUUGCAAACUCGGUGGAACACACAGGUUUAGAGAAACUUGAAGAAACUCAAAUAACAGUGAGAGCAAUUACAGUUGCAUGUAGAAUACAUGGAUUAACGCACUGAAACUUGAUUUUACGAUAAUCUAAGUAGAGAGGAGGCUGCAUGAUCUGAAGAAGAGUUUCAGAGCUGGGAGUGUCCAGUCUUCAGUGAUCCCAUCCUCUUCACUUCAGGACGGUGGAACUGAGAUCCAGAGAGGCUGACAUUGAGACCCCCAGCAUCCGAGGAAGACCGGAAGAGUGGAACCCCACUGUCCCACCAAGGCCAAGCCUCUGAUGAAUCUUCUUUAAGAAAAGCUCACCCUUGGCCGGCGCCGUGGCUCAACAGGCUAAUCCUCCGCCUUGAGGCGCUGGCACACCAGGUUCUAGUCCCGGUCGGGGCACCGGAUUCUGUCCUGGUUGCCCCUCUUCUAGGCCAGCUCUCUGCUGUGGCCAGGGAGUGCAGUGGAGGAUGGCCCAAGUGCUUGGGCCCUGCACCCCAUG